GCCCAGGUGGCGGAAUUGGUAGACGCGCUGGUUUCAGGUACCAGUGACGCAAGUCGUGGAGGUUCGAGUCCUCUCUUGGGCACCA
rnacentral:tRNA from 1 species